GGGGUUGCUGGGAAAUGGGUUACACUGACUACUUGGGAGAAGAGAGGAGUGUUUAGAGCUACAGAGAUCAUUGCUCUGUGGGAGGAGGGAGUGGUGAUGCUAAUGACCCCAGAGGUGGGAGAGUGCCUGAUGGUGACCAAUCACAGGACACAGAGAAUUACUGAUCGCAAAUACUCCAAGUUGCGGUGCUGCUUGCUCAUUUCUGUAGAGAGCAGAAGUGGAGGAGAAGGCUGCAGCUUUGAAACCCAUAUCCUGUGGAAAUGCCAUUGCAAUUUCCAGUGCUAUACAGAACCUAUUUAUUCUUCCUAGUACUUAACUUCAAGGGAUUUUCAGGGCUUGUUUAAUUUAUUUUCUUUAACUGUGGUGGGACCUUACCCUUAUCACCUGCAAGGCUAGUGAAUGCCCCCAGUUAGUCAUGCCCUACACUUAGGGAGGUGAGUAGCUAAUUGGCUCCCAGCCAGAGGGGGCAGAGCUAAGUAUAAUAAAUAGACUGAAGAGCCCCAGUUGAGGGGGAGAUUGCAGAGGAGGCAGGUCUCUCUGUCAGAGGAAAAGCCCAGGUGGAUAAAGGGGGGAAGUGCACUACAAGGCAAGGUAGGCUCCUACAGAGGAAGCCCUGAGAUAGGGUUUUGCAAGUUGAAAGAGAAGAGUUCAGUAGCCCAAGGGGACAGAAGAGUUAUUCAGAUUUAUAUGGACUUGUUCAUGAUACCUGGGAAGGGGUUUGAACUUUGUGACUUUGCUGCUGGCUUCAGACCUCCGGCUAACAGCUAGCAGGAGACACUGAAGCCAAAGAUACCAGUGACAUUGCACCCAGGCGCAAAGGGGCACUUCCAGGAUAAGGGUGCCACACCACAGUAGUAGUAAUCACAAAAUGAUCUUUGUAAACAGGUAAAUUAAAGCUAAUGGAGAAUUUUACACAGAGGGUUAUGGUAUGUGUGUGAAGAGUGGUGGUGAUACUAUUAAUUAUAAUGAUCAGCUGGAACCAAGUCUAGACAUCAGUGAUAAGUUUGGGUUUUAUUAUGUACUGUACAGACAGUGGUAAGGGUUAACCUGUACGUAGCAAGCUGGACACAAGACCAUGUGUAUUCUACAUGACAAGGUGAAGCUACCUCUUGCAAGGAGGCCCCCGGCUUCUAUGUCAUAUUGGUGUUGAAUUUAGGCAGUGCCUUCAAAUAAACUUUGAAAAAGUGUUUCUAGUGAAUUAAAUGUGAAGCUGAAUAAUAAGUACAGUAUUCCUGUGUUUUGCAUUGGUAUUAGAUUCACUUUAUUUUGUGUAGCUCCCAAACUUUCAAUGUACCAGAUUUCUUUCUACUGGAAACUACUUCUACAAUGGAAUGAGAGAUCUGGGGGAUUUUGGCAACUGUGGAAGCAUGAGAGACAUCUUGAGGUUCUCCUCCCCCACCCCCACACUCUAAGGCUUUUAGCACUGGGCAGGGAUAUAACUCUACUCUUCAUCCCCCUUGUCAGUAGGUGCAGAGAUUUCAAGCCACCUAAAAUGUCAAAACAUGAGCACUAUAAGACACCAAGCACCUGCCCCGGUGCUCAGUAUCUAUCACAGCACAAUGCCAUCAUUAGGCCUCAGAGUUAACACACUGAGAUUAACAGGAACAGUUAAUAUCUCUUAGAGCUGUUUCUUAGUCUAUGAAAUACUGGAGAAUGAUGGGGAAGCUAUUAAUUCAGGAAUACCCACUUCCUGGCUCCAGCUAGGCUGGUAAGGUUUAUUCUUCCCAGACCAAAACCUAGGAGGAAAAGGGAUAACCUACAGAUUUUGGCUUAGGGAAGAAGAGGGGUUGAGUGGGUUGCUAGCAGUUGCCCAGAUAGCUGAAGAGAGACAGACAAACAGUAGCAAGCAGACUGUCUGUCCCAACCCAGAGUUGAAGAUCGUGGGCUGAGGGGAAUGUACAAAAGCUUUCAAGGAAAGAUUAUGUUGUAGAUAACACCUUUUGGGUAUAGGCCUUUAUCUGUUUUAUCCCUUUGCUCUGCUUGAUAUGUAUCUUUGUGUGAAUAAAUAAUACUUUGUUUUG